UUCUAUGAUCAUACCACCUAAAUGUGACUGAUUGGAGAAGAUAAGCAGUGUCAGGCCUAGUUGGCACUCCGAUGGGAGACCACGUAGGAAUAUUGGGUGCUGUGGGCU
ensembl:rRNA predicted gene, 24991